UACAGAGGUGGCAAGCGUUGUUCGGAAUUACUGGGCGUAAAGGGCGCGUAGGCGGUCUUUUAAGUUCCGUGUGAAAUCCCUCGGCUCAACUGGGGAACUGCACGGAAAACUGGCAGGCUUGAGUUCGGGAGAGGGAAGCGGAAUUUCGGGUGUAGCGGUGAAAUGCGCAGAUAUCCGAAGGAACACCGGUGGCGAAGGCGGCUUCCUGGACCGACACUGACGCUGAGGCGCGAAAGCUAGGGGAGCAAACGGG
rnacentral:rRNA from 1 species